UUCGUUCCCAUUCUCUCUCUGUCCUCUUUUCUCUCUCUCGUCUCAUAAUCUCUCUCACACACAACACACACUAAAUCAUAUCAGAUCUUCCCCUCCGUCUCUCUCUCUCCCUCUCUCUCUAUAUAUAUAGCAUAGAUUCACGCAUUAAACCCGGAGGAAAGCUUGUCCAGAGUGCUACUCUUUUACGGCCGUCUCUAAUUCGCUUGGUGCAGGUCGGGAACUGCUUUUCCCACGACGUCGUUGGGUGAUUUCUGAUGAAUGAUGUUUCUGGUGAAUUGAAGUCCCGCCUUGCAUCAACUGAAUCAGAGGCCGCAGUAAAAAAUUCAGAAAAUUUCGUAUCGAACAGCGUCGCAUCGGAUCGUCUAAUGACUUUAGCAGGUACAUAUGACAGCCAGAUCUAAGGUGGUGAAGCUUGUCGUAAUUAGAGCUUUGUUUCUGGAAUGUACUUCCGUAUCUUGCAAGCUACGUUUACGUUAUGAAAGCCUUACUUACCUACUAUUGGGUCAAUGGUGGAAUUUACGUGUUGCUGUUCCAGUAUUCAGGUUAACUCUGUUUCUUUCAUGAAAGACAGUAUAUUUUCUUGAGUAGUUUCUGCAGUCUUGCGAAUCACGAGCUGACUAAAGCCUAAGAAGUCGACACACUAGACUCACUUCUUUGAAGCACUAUGUUUAGGAUCUAACUCUCCUCUCAUGCAGAUGUUUUCAAUAUUAUUGUCAAUAAUCAGCUGUCGUAGACACAAUAUCUCUUGCCCUAAAUGUGAGCACAAAAGCAUAGAAUUUUCAUCUAGUACAUAUGAAGAACAAGCCGCACUCUCCUCUAUGUAAUGUUUUGUUUUUGUUUGUAAAUUGUAAUAUGUUCUUGUCACAAUAUAACUACCUGUUAACUUCCCUCCCACUGUUCCACAUCAUUUCAGCGACUUACUUUUUGUGGUUUGCUAUUCAAAUGUCAAACCAUGAAAGCAUACUAAUUUGGCAUUUUCUUGGUAGUAAUUAGUAAUGUUUAAACUAUUCUAAUGUGUUUUUCUAAAAGUAUCUUUUAGUUGCAUCGUCGAGGGUGAUAGGUUUUUGAAUUGGUAUUACUCAAGAGGUUAUCAUGACAUGCCUUGACAAAAAUAAAAUAUUUAAUUUGUUUCUGUCUAUAUCGAACUAUCCAAUGUCUUGCCUACAUUAGUUGAGUUUAAAAUUUUAAAAUGGUGGAUGGAAUGGACCUGUUUCUUUUAAAAUAAGGGUGAAUAGGAUCACAAUUAUAAAAGGUAGUCUGAUGCAAUCAACAAGUUGUUCGGUGCAUGCACAUUCCUUGAAGAUGAGCAUAUUUGUAGCUGGAGUGUAUCAAUCAAGAGUUUUUAUCCUAAGCAUCAAUUUACUAGGAAUCUAAUCAACCAACAAUUUCAGGAGUGAAGGUUAGGUCCUUACAUUAUUCGCAAGAACUUUUUGGUUGUUCUAUGUUUUUAAGUUUUAUUUUUAUUUCCUUUUUUUUGGUAAGUAAUUCCAUUAUCGAGUUGAAUUAGUUUGACUAUAUUAGGAUAGAAAACUAACUGUUGUCCUAGUUAUUCUGGAGAGUUUAAGAAGUUAUUGCUGUAGAUAAUACAAAGAGUUGACUUUUAAGAAUUUAGUUGCAUGAUUCUUCUUCCAAAAAUCCCCAAGACCUUUUCUUUUUGCUUUCCUGUUCUGUUGUUGCUGUUCACAGGUACUUUUCACAGUUAUGAAACAGUUAUAAAUAAUUGUAUUCUUCCAUACUUGUAGGCAAGAUUAAUCCUAGCUAUCUUGCCCUACAUCAAAAUGUCAACUACUUCACAGCAGGUUGUUUGCUCUAGAGGCAUAACGUGUUUCUAAAAUUUGUGAAGGGGCAAAUGACACGUUUUGAAGUGGUUGGAACUCCCGUUUGGGGAUAAUAUUACUGGGGAAGUUUACCUUUUGCAAUUUGAGACCUUUUCAUGUUUUAGCUUUUGAAAAACAGUCUAAUUUUUCAUUCUUAGUAUUAGACUGUUUCAUCUGAAACUUUUAGGCAUCCACACAUUAAUUUAUGAUUUUCUAUGACUAUGUUUAAUAAUGGAUCUACCUGCUGUUACUUUUUGAAAUUGGAAUUUGCAUUAUACUCUGUACUGCAUUUGUUGAAAAUUUUGUUAUCAGACAGCCAUGAAUGUUGUGUAGGAUAAUUCUGCAUUAUAACUUUAGCUUUGGAGAAAAUGCUAGCAGAUUUUCCUUUCCUCCCCUUGCAAUAAAACUCAAAUAAAAAAUGUGUUUUGCUGUUUUCUAAAAAUGCUUAUUGUUUUACAAUUUGUGUGGUGAAUUAAUUUUAUCAAUUUUAUGUUGUUAUCUAGGCAUUUUUGGGAGGUAUUAUUUCAAGAUUGAUGUAAACCACAUCCUUCCCUUGCAAUAAAACUCAUAGAAAAUGUUUUUAUGCUGCUCUUGAAAAAUGUAUAUUGUUUUACAAUUUUUGCGAUGAAUUAAUUUUAUCAAUUUUAUGUUAUUAUCUAGACAUUUUGGGAGGUAUUAUUUCUAGAUUGAUGUAAACCACAUCCUCUUUUUUUUUUUUCUUUUUUCUUUCUAAUUAAAAGAACUAUGUAUAUAUACACAUUUGUAUCAUAUCCUGUCAAGAGUCCUAAUCAGUUUUUCGCAGCUUAAUUCUAUGUGCACGUUCCAAUCUAGUGAUAUCUGGCAGGAAGGAUAUUAACUUCUAGACUUGCCAUUUGAACUGUGUAGAAAUUGUGUCAUGGUACCAAGACGAAAACAAUUCUCGUUCUCUCUUUGAGGAAAAUCAAAAAAAGGAAACAAAUAGGCGUUAUGCUGCAUAUUUGCUAUAACUGGAUAUUUUGCAUUCCAUUGUUAUUCAUGGUUAAAUACAAAUAUAGCUUGAGAUCUAUGGUGUUUUAAAUCAAACAUUUAGAAUUGAAAAUACAUCUUGACGUCCUAUUCAUUCCUUCAGCUCAUGCUCUGGAUAUGAUAUGGUUAAUGCUACUAAGUAGGAGUUACCGAGCACAGAUAUUCCUAGGCUCAAUUUGAGGAUUGAUGGUAUUGCAAGCUUUUAUCCUUAUGGGGGAAGAGUUGUCUUUUUGAAGUCUAUUCUUUCUUCUUUACUGGCAUAUGCAAUGCAAACUUACCAGCUACCUCUUGCAGUUACUCACCAACCGUGGGUGUAUAGGUAGUGCUACACGCUUCAUGCUAUAGACCUGACAUUCGUAGUCUCUAAACUUGAGGAUUAAUGGCAUUAACUAUGAAAUCCUUUUUUCUUGUGGGGGAAGAUUUGUCUUGCUGAAGUCUAUUGUAUCUUCUUAAUCCGGCAUGUGCAUUGCAAACUUAUGGCUACGUGUUGCAGUCACUCACUAACUUAAUCAUCUUCAUUGUGCUUCUUUUGGAACCCCAGAUCUAUAAAUGAGAGUCUUUGGUUAGUGUAAUGCAUGUCUGUGCUGUUAAGUCUCCGUUGCUUGCAAGUAGAUCUGGCAAUUAUGUCCAAAACCCAACAAUCCAUCCAACCCACCCACUAAUUUCAGAUGUUGGGUUGGAUAAUUUGGAUGUUGGAUCAAUUUUGGGUUGGGUAAUAAAAACUUAGAUAUAUUUUGGACGGGUUGGGUAUUUGUGUUGGGUGCCCAUUACCCCACUUCUACUUUCAUUUGACAGAGAUGUAAAACUUGUUCUUAUUGUCUUCUUUAGUUUGUGUAACGGCUGAUGGCUAGCCGUAAAGGUGGCAUCUGUAGCUCCGAGAUCACUUUGUAUUGCAAGGGCAGAGGCACAUAGCAUAAGGAGAGGCUGGGAAAUGGUCUAUAGCCUAGAUUUGACAGCAAAUUUUCCCGUGCAACAGAAAAUUAUUAAAGCUUAUUACAUGGCUGCUUUAUGCAUGGCUGCUGGCUGACCAUGCAUUACACAGUUCUCGUGAUCCAAGUUUUGUUGUAGUACUAAGUACUUUAUAUCCAAAGUUUUCAGCAACACACCUGCAAUACAUAUGUACCCAAGGAACUGAAAAUUGGAAAACUCUAGUCUAAUGAAUUACUUUAUUGAAAAUGGUUACCAAACGUUUAGGUGUAGUGGCAGGAGGCAAUGUUAACUAGCACAAUUUCUCAAUUU